ensembl:lncRNA
GACAAUGGCGGUGGAGAACAUGGUCCACUCGGACUCAAUAUCUCCAGCCGAAGCUCUGCCGGAGGUAGGAGUUAAAGAUCUCUCUGACAGGAGACACAGCCAGACGUUCCCAGCAGACCCUUACAGUACGCUUGGGCCUGCCGAGUCUGUCCAGCUUCCUCCCCCACCAUCGGAUCCAACUCACCACCAGGUGGUGAUCAAAUGACAGCUCCGCCCCUCUCUUCACCUGAGUGUCCAAGACAUCAUAAAAAUUAAAAGAAAUAAACACUUGAAAUAUGUCAGUCUGUGUGGAAUGAAUGUAUACAUUAUACACGUUUCACUUUUUGAAUGGAAUUACUGAAAUAUAUCAACUUUUUGAUGAUAUUCUAAGUUUAUGAUCAGCACCUAUAUGUUUCGAUGGCCAAUCAAAUUAACGGAAGUAGGAGGGCGUAGUAGUGGAAAACGAAAUCACCCAAUCUGGCGAAGAAAACCAGGAGUGAGGGCGUGAUGAUUUUCAAUGAAAUUAAAAGGAUUGGAGUUCACUACAACCCUGCUCCUAUUUAAACUCACGCGAACGAUUACUUCGCAAUUGUGUUUUGCUGACGGUUGUAAUCAAAGUCUAAAAUGUCAGUAAAGCGUUGAGAAUGCAUUCCAGCAAUUUCUACUCUACUCGCCAAGCCAUGGAAAUGGCUAAUGAGAACGCGACAACAGUUCAAGGCAGUCCAAGUAAUUUUGUUACUAUAAAUCAAGGUAAGUGUCGACUAAGAGCUUGCUUACUGUUUGUACAUUAGCUAGCAGUACCAGCGGUAACAAGUUGUUUUGUGUUUCAGCUUUAUCGCUUGCUGGGUACCGUUGUUACAUACAGAAAAUAUUAAGCGCAUUGUAAUUAAAGUAACCCUAGUAAAACUGUAUAUAGAAAUAUUUAUACACAUACAUACCUAGAAAAUUAACCAGACUAUUGACUGUAUUUCUAACAGCUUGCUCCACGGAAGGCCCGGGGCCUGGUCUUCUCAAGCGAAAUAUAUUAAGUUGAAUGAUUAACUACAGUGCCUACUACUAUGUUAGAUUUGUGCGGUUUGUAAUUUUAUUAGACUUUUUAUCAUUUUCUAAUUGCCAGGAUUUACACCAUUUUCAUAGCGUGCCGUCGGGGACCUACACAGUACUGCUGGCAAGGAUGAAAAGCAUAGGCCACAUGAAAGUGAAUGUGAAUAUAGUAGAACAGUCGACACAACACUGAUGUGCUGGGAUUUGUGGUAAAUCAGAUUAGUCUAAAAUGUAUUGAAGAAUGGAGCGGGACUGAAUUUGAAGAUGCAGAUGCAGCUGCAGGUCGAUACUGGACACAAAGGGAGAAACAUUGUUUGUUGGACAACCUGGACAAAGCAGCAAAGAGAAUCAGCGGACACGGCGCAGCGAGCGACAGCGGUUACAAGCGGAUAUACCCAUAGGGACUCUGAUCGGCACAGCAUAGCAUUUUCUGUUCAAUGAACUGAGUGAACACAAUCCACCGUGCCAUUCGCCGUUACUGGCAAAAUCUCUAUAGGUCAAAAAAGAAGCUGUAUCUAAACAGGAUCCAGAAGAUUAGCAGGCGUUUUCUCUGGGCCAAGGAUCAUUUAAAAUGGACUGUGGCAAAGUGGAAAAGUUUUUAUUUUUUUACAAUUUCAUGGCUGCAUAGAAGAAGGAUCCGGGUAAUGAAAUGGCCAGCCUGCAGUCCAGUUUGCAAUCUUUCACCCAUAGAAAACAUUCAGCGCAUCAUAAAGAGGAAGGUGCGACAAAGAAGACCUAAGACAAUUGAGCAACUAGAAGCCUGUAUUAGACAAGAAUUGGACAACCUAUUCAUGAACUUGAGCAACUUGUCUCCUCAGUCCCCAGACGUUUGCAGUCUGUUAUAAAAAGAAGAGGGGAUGCCACACAGUGGUAAACAUGGCCUUGUCCCAACUUUUUUGAGAUGUGUUGAUGCCAUGAAAUUUAAAAUCAACUUAUUUUCCCCUUAAAGUGAUACAUUUCCCCAGUUUAAACAUUUGAUAUGUCAUCUAUGUUGUAUUCUGAAUAACAUUUUGAAAUUUGAAACUUCCACAUCAUUGCAUUCUGUUUUUAUUCACAAUUGUACAGUGUCCCAACUUUUUUGGAAUCUGGUUUGUACAUUGCUGUUUUUA